rnacentral:pre_miRNA from 1 species
AAAACUCACAUUAAUUAUCCUUGGGACCAUGGGAUAAAAAAAAACCCUACAAAAAUAAGUUAGCAUGCCAUAGAAUGGUUCUAACAUGAUUACUAACCUAUGUAUCUCAUACUAGUUAAUGGGAAAAACCU